CUGACCUUUGUUAUCCCUUUUGCCCCCUUCAGGACAACUCUAGGCUUUCCUCAUUCUUACAGCUCAUUAGAUUUUAUGCUAGUCUCCAGUCCAUUAAAUGAACACUCCAGACUCCUAAAGCAAUUCAGCUUACCUACAGCUUACUUACAACAAAGUGAAAUCUCAAUCAGACAGAUGGUCCUGUUACAUCUGGGUAGUUUAGCUUAGUGGAACUAAACUCAAGGGGCAGGCAAUCAUCCAAAGCAUCUGCCUUGCAAAC